rnacentral:rRNA from 1 species
AGUCGAACGGUAAGGCCCAUCGGGGUACACGAGUGGCGAACGGGUGAGUAACACGUGGGUAAUCUGCCCUGCACAUCGGGAUAAGCCUGGGAAACUGGGUCUAAUACCGAAUAGGACCACAGAACACAUGUCCUGUGGUGGAAAGCUUUUGCGGUGUGGGAUGGGCCCGCG